AGCAGCAUGGCGCAGUUGGAAGCGCGUUGGGCUCAUAACCCAAAGGUCGCUCGAUCGAAACGAGCUGCUGCUA